AUGCAAACACUGAGAUCUGUAUCUGUGGACCUGAAUGUUGAUCCCUCGCUUCAGAUUGACAUACCUGAUGCACUCAGUGAGAGAGAUAAAGUCACAUUUACAGUGCACACAAAGACCACACUGCCCACGUUUCAGAGCCCAGAGUUUUAUGUUACAAGGCAACAUGAAGACUUUGUGUGGCUACAUGACAGUCUUAUUGAAACAACAGACUAUGCUGGGCUUAUUAUUCCACCUGCUCCUAUGAAGCCUAACUUCAGUGGUCCUGGAGAGAAGAUGCAGAAACUGGGAGAAGAUGAAGGGUCUAUGACCAAAGAAGAAUUUGCCAAGAUAAAACAAGAACUGGAAGCCUACGUGUUGGGUGGAAAAAUACUAAAGAGAUGUUUGUUGGCUUCUUUAAAAGUGUGGUGAAAAGUGCUGAUGAAGUCCUUUUUACUGGAGUCAGGGAGGUAGAUGACUUCUUUGACCAAGAGAAGAACUUCCUUAUUAACUAUUAUAAUAGGAUCAAAUAUUCUUGUGUGAAAGUUGACAAAAUGACCAGAUCUCAUAAAAAUGUUGCCGAUGUCUAUAUCCACACUGCAGCCUGCUUACAUAGCCUGGCUUUAUAAGAGCCCACAGUCAUCAAAAAGUACCUAUUGAAGGUUGCUGAGCUAUUUGAAAAACUUAGGAAAGUAGAGGAUCAAGGUUCAUCAGAUGAAGAUUUGAAGCUAAGAGAGCUCCUCUGAUACUACAUGCUCAACAUCGAAGCUGCUAAGGAUCUCUCAUACAGAUGCACCAAAGCCCUCAUUGAUUAUGAGAACUCAAACAAAGCUCUGGAUAACACCCGGUUAGAGAGCAAAGACGUCAGGUUGGCUGAGGCACACCAGCAGGAGUGCUGCCAGAAAUUUGAACAGCUUUUCGAAUCUGCAAAAGAAGAACUGAUACAUUUCAAACCAAAGAGAGUGGCAGCAUUUAGGGAGAUUCUAAUUGAAAUGUCUGAACUGGAAAUAAAACAUGCCAGGAACUAUGUCUCCCUUUUGCAGAGCUGUAUUGACUUGUUCAAGAAUAACUGAUAUGCCUUCACUCAGAAGAAAAGAAAUGAAUGUGAAAGAAAACCAAGCAUCACUUGC